UGAAUACGAGACGCUAAGGCGUCGAAGUAGUGUAUGUCAUACUUCCAAGAAAAGCUUGCACUGUCAUAGAUAAAAAACGCCUGUACCAUAACCGACACAGGUGGGUAGGUAGAGUAUACUAAGGGGCGCGAGAUAACUCUCUCUAAGGAACUCGGCAAAAUAACUCCGUAACUUCGGGAGAAGGAGUGCCUUAUUCGUAAGGUUGCAAUAACAAGAUCCAAGCAACUGUUUAUCAAAAACACAGGUCUCCGCUAAGUCGUAAGACGAUGUAUGGGGGCUGACGCCUGCCCAGUGCCAGAAGGUUAAAGAAGUUGGUUAGCAAUUGCGAAGCUGAUAACUGAAGCCCUGGUGAACGGCGGCCGUAACAAUAACGGUCCUAAGGUAGCGAAAUUCCUUGUCGGGUAAGUUCCGACCCGCACGAAAGGCGUAAUGAUUUGGAUACUGUCUCGGAGAGGGGCUCGGUGAAAUAGACUUGUCUGUGAAGAUGCGGACUACCUGCACCAGGACAGAAAGACCCUAUGAAGCUUUACUGUAACUUGAAAUUGAAAUUGGACUUUAUUCGCGCAGUAUAGGUGGGAGGCGUUGAUUAUAAUCUUGUGGGAUUAUUGGAGCCAUCAGUGAGAUACCACUCUUGUAAUGUUAGAUUUCUAACUUUGAAUCAUUAUCUGGUCAAAGAACAGUUUCAGGCGGGCAGUUUGACUGGGGCGGUCGCCUCCUAAACGGUAACGGAGGCGUACAAAGGUUUCCUCUGAACGGUUAGAAAUCGUAUCUAGAGUGUAAAGGCAUAAGGAAGCUUGACUGUGAGACCUACAAGUCGAGCAGGGACGAAAGUCGGUCUUAGUGAUCUGACGGUACUGAGUGGAAAGGCCGUCACUCAACGGAUAAAAGUUACUCUAAGGAUAACAGGCUGAUCUCCCCCAAGAGUUCACAUCGACGGGGAGGUUUGGCACCUCGAUGUCGGCUCAUCGCAUCCUGGGGCGGUAGUACGUCCCAAGGGCUGGGCUGUUCGCCCAUGAAAGCGGUACGCGAGCUGGGUUCAGAACGUCGUGAGACAGUUCGGUCCAUAUCCGGUGUAGGCGUUAGAAUAUUGAGAGGAGCCUUCUUUAGUACGAGAGGACCGAGAAGGACAUACCUCUGGUGUACCAGUUAUCGUGCCAACGGUAAACGCUGGGUAGCUAUGUAUGGAGUGGAUAACCGCUGAAAGCAUCUAAGUGGGAAGCCCACCUCAAGAUAAGUAUUCUCAUCACGUAAGUGAGUAAGGUCACGGUAAGACUAACCGUUUGAUAGGCAUUAAGUGUAAGUACAGUAAUGUAUGUGCUGAGGUAUCCUAAUAGACCGAGGACUU
rnacentral:rRNA from 1 species